rnacentral:lncRNA from 1 species
AGAACCCAUGCGGAUAUAGUUUUCAUAUAAUUCAUCCCCUUGGCCAAAAUGAUCAUAGGACACCCCAGAGUUCAACUGUCAACUCUGAUCAGGUUGUCCACAUUGUAUUUCAAAAUAUCAAAUCCAUCUGAUGGAUUACCCUGGCCAAGGUUUUGCUAAAUUGAAAUACAAUGACUCAUUCUUCUCCAACUCUUGGAGUGGUCAAUCCCAUCUCGAUCACACUCUGACUUUGCAAGUACUUGACUGUGCCCAGAAGCCUUCCAUCUCUGAAUUAAAAAUUCAGUUAGUCCAGUACCAAAGCACAGUGAGUUGCUUGCAAGUCACUGAGGUGAUCUCAGGUCUAAGGGACACUUAUACCUAUAUCCCAUCAGAG